UUGUGGUUAAAAAGCUCGUAGUUGGAUCUCGGCGGACUGAGGGCGGUUUGCUUGCUAGUAUUACUGCCCUAUAGUCCGUAGUUUUGCCAGAGGUUUCGGGGUGCUCUUAAUCGAGUGUCCCGGGAUGCUGGCAGGUUUACUUUGAAAAAAUUAGAGUGCUCAAAGCAGGCUAUUACGCCUGAAUAUUCGUGCAUGGAAUAAUAGAAUAGGAAGUCGUUUCUAUUUUGUUGGUUUUCGGAAAUCGACUUAAUAAUUAAUAGGGACAGUCGGGGGCAUUUGUAUUCAAACGACAGAGGUGAAAUUCUUGGACCGUUUGAAGACAAACUACUGCGAAAGCAUUUGCCAAGAAUGUUUUCAUUAAUCAAGAACGAAAGUUAAAGGUUCGAAGGCGAUUAGAUACCGCCCUAGUUUUAACCAUAAACGAUGCCAGCUAGCGAUCUGCGGACGUUUUUUUUGUAGACUCCGCAGGAAGCUUCCGGGAAACCAAAGCAUUUGGGUUCCAGGGGAAGUAUGGUUGCAAAGCUGAAACUUAAAGGAAUUGACGGAAGGGCACCACCAGGAGUGGAGCCUGUGGCUUAAUUUGACUCAACACGGGAAAUCUCACCAGGCCCGGACACUGGAAGGAUUGACAGAUUGAUAGCUCUUUCUUGAUUCGGUGGGUGGUGGUGCAUGGC
rnacentral:rRNA from 1 species